rnacentral:lncRNA from 1 species
GGCUCAUGGCACAGAACGGCACACAAAGUAAGCCCAUGGCACACAGCUGGUGGCACAGCACUGUAUUCAUGGUAAGGCCAUGGCACACGGCUCGUGGUGGCACCAAUGGCACCAAUGGCACCAAUGGCACCAAUGGCAUCCAUGGCAUUUGGGGCUCACGGUGUCACCAAUGGCACCAAUGGCACCAGUGCCACUUGGGGCUCGUGGUGUCACCAAUGGCACCAAUGGCAUCAAUGGCACCAAUGGCAUUUGGGGCUCACAGUGUCACCAACGCCACCAAUGUCACCAGUGCCACAUGGGGCUCGUGGUGUCACCAAUGCCAUCAAUGUCACCAGUGCCAAAUGGGGCUCAUAGUGUCACCAAGGCACCAAUGGCACCCAUGGCACCAAUGGCACCACAUGGGGCUCACGGUGGCACCAAUGGCACCAAUGCCAUCAAUGUCAUUUGGGGCUCACGGUGUCACCAACGCCACCAAUGUCACCAGUGGCAAAUAGGGCUCGUGGCGUUACCAAUGGCACCAAUGGCACCAAUGGCACCAAUGGCACCAAAGGCACCAAUGUCAUUUGGGGCUCACGGUGUCACCAACGCCACCCAUGUCACCGGUGCCACCGGUGCCACGUGA